rnacentral:rRNA from 1 species
AACGUAGGACACAAGCGUUAUCCGGAGUUACUGGGCGUAAAGGGCGUGUAGGCGGAUCGGUAAGUCUACUCUGAAAGCUCCUGGCUAAACUGGGAGAGGCGAGUGGAGACUGUCGGUCUAGAGUGAGGAAGAGGAAAGUGGAAUUCCGCGUGUAGUGGUGAAAUGCGUAGAGAUGCGGAGGAACACCAGUGGCGAAGGCGACUACCUGGCCCUGUUCUUGACGCUGAGGCGG